CCUACGUGUGGCAGCAGUGAGGAAUAUUGGUCAAUGGACGAGAGUCUGAACCAGCCAAGUAGCGUGAAGGAUGACUGCCCUAUGGGUUGUAAACUUCUUUUAUAAAGGAAUAAAACGAGGCACGUGUGCCUUUUUGCAUGUACUUUAUGAAUAAGGAUCGGCUAACUCCGUGCCAGCAGCCGCGGUAAUACGGAGGAUCCGAGCGUUAUUCGGAUUUACUGGGUUUAAAGGGUGCGUAGGCGGCCGUUUAAGUCAGCGGUGAAAGUCUGUGGCUUAACCAUAGAAUUGCCGUUGAAACUGGGGGGCUUGAGUAUGGUAGAGGCAGGCAGAAUGCGUGGUGUAGCGGUGAAAUGCGUAGAUAUGACGCAGAACCCCGAUGGCGAAGGCAGCCUGCUAGGCCAUGACUGACGCUGAUGUACGAAAGCGUGGGGAUCAAACAGGAUUAGAUACCCUAGUAGUC
rnacentral:rRNA from 1 species